AGUGAACGCUGGCGGUAGGCCUAACACAUGCAAGUCGAACGGCAGCACAGUAAGAGCUUGCUCUUACGGGUGGCGAGUGGCGGACGGGUGAGGAAUACAUCGGAAUCUACUUUUUCGUGGGGGAUAACGUAGGGAAACUUACGCUAAUACCGCAUACGACCUACGGGUGAAAGCAGGGGAUCUUCGGACCUUGCGCGAUUGAAUGAGCCGAUGGCGGAUUAGCUAGUUGGCGGGGUAAAGGCCCACCAAGGCGACGCUCCGUAGCUGGUCUGAGAGGGUGAUCAGCCACACUGGAACUGAGACACGGUCCAGACUCCUACGGGAGGCAGCAGUGGGGAAUAUUGGACAAUGGGCGCAAGCCUGAUCCAGCCAUACCGCGUGGGUGAAGAAGGCCUUCGGGUUGUAAAGCCCUUUUGUUGGGAAAGAAAAGCAGCAGGUUAAUACCCCGCUGUUCUGACGGUACCCAAAGAAUAAGCACCGGCUAACUUCGUG
rnacentral:rRNA from 1 species